rnacentral:rRNA from 1 species
CCUACGGGGGGCAGCAGUGGGGAAUUUUGCGCAAUGGGCGAAAGCCUGACGCAGCAACGCCGCGUGGAGGAUGAAGGUUCUCUGAAUCGUAAACUCCUGUCGGCCGGGAAGAAUUGACGGAGCGCUAAUCAGCUCCGGCUUGACUGUACCGGCAAAGGAAGCCCCGGCUAACUCCGUGCCAGCAGCCGCGGUAAUACGGAGGGGGCAAGCGUUACUCGGAAUUAUUGGGCGUAAAGGGCGCGUAGGCGGUCCUGCGCGUCGGAGGUGAAAUCCCCGGGCU